ACUUUGAUUCUGGCUCAGGACGAACGCUGGCGGCGUGCUUCACACAUGCAAGUCGAACGAGAAUCUAAUGACGGAGUUUUCGGACAACUGAUUUAGAGGACAGUGGCGGACUGGUGAGUAACGCGUGAGGAACCUGCCUCUCAGAGGGGGACAACAGUUGGAAACGACUGCUAAUACCGCAUGACGCAUUUUGAUCGCAUGGUCGGAAUGCCAAAGAUUUAUCGCUGAAAGAUGGCCUCGCGUCUGAUUAGAUAGUUGGCGGGGUAACGGCCCACCAAGUCGACGAUCAGUAGCCGGACUGAGAGGUUGACCGGCCACAUUGGGACUGAGAUACGGCCCAGACUCCUACGGGAGGCAGCAGUGGGGAGUAUUGGGCAAUGGGCGCAAGCCUGACCCAGCAACGCCGCGUGAAGGAAGAAGGCUUUCGGGUUGUAAACUUCUUUUAAGUGGGAAGAGCAGAAGACGGUACCACUUGAAUAAGCCACGGCUAACUACGUGCCAGCAGCCGCGGUA
rnacentral:rRNA from 1 species